rnacentral:misc_RNA from 1 species
GUGGUGGGGAAUCGCAAGCUAGGCGUGCCGUUUGGGCACGCCUAGCGUAAAGGAAAGUCAGGUCUCCGGGGUUGGGGUUCGGCUAACGCCGAACGCAGCAAUGUUUGCGCACAUGAAGGCACAGCACAGCCCGGCUGAAGCCAGGCAUGGUGGGAGCGCAAAGCGCGCUGCAGAAAAGCCUGCAGCAAUGGUGCCCCUUUGGAGUAACCCUUAUACAAGCAGCGCGCCGGAGGCACGGUGCGCGCAUUCUGUGCUAAUCUGCAGGUAAGGGGCUUAGAGUGAUGAUUCAGACACUGAAUCCGGCUUAUCACCACCACAUAA